rnacentral:rRNA from 1 species
UACGAAGGGGGCUAGCGUUGCUCGGAAUCACUGGGCGUAAAGGGUGCGUAGGCGGGUCUUUAAGUCAGGGGUGAAAUCCUGGAGCUCAACUCCAGAACUGCCUUUGAUACUGAGGAUCUCGAGUCCGGGAGAGGUGAGUGGAACUGCGAGUGUAGAGGUGAAGAUUCGUAGAUAUUCGCAAGAACACCAGUGGCGAAGGCGGCUCACUGGCCCGAUACUGACGCUGAGGCACGAAAGCGUGGGGAGCAAACAGG